rnacentral:rRNA from 1 species
GACGAGGGGUCCAAGCGUUGUUCGGAAUUAUUGGGCGUAAAGGGCUCGUAGGCGGCCAACUAAGUCGGAUGUGAAAUCCCCAGGCUUAACCUGGGAACUGCAUCCGAUACUGGAUGGCUUGAAUCCGGGAGAGGGAUGCAGAAUUCCAGGUGUAGCGGUGAAAUGCGUAGAUAUCUGGAGGAAUACCGGUGGCGAAGGCGGCAUCCUGGACCGGCAUUGACGCUGAGGAGCGAAAGCUAGGGGAGCAAACGGG